rnacentral:rRNA from 1 species
GACGAACGCUGGCGGCGUGCCUAAUGCAUGCAAGUCGAACGCUUCUUUCCUCCCGAGUGCUUGCACUCAAUUGGAAAGAGGAGUGGCGGACGGGUGAGUAACACGUGGGUAACCUACCCAUCAGAGGGGGAUAACACUUGGAAACAGGUGCUAAUACCGCAUAACAGUUUAUGCCGCAUGGCAUAAGAGUGAAAGGCGCUUUCGGGUGUCGCUGAUGGAUGGACCCGCGGUGCAUUAGCUAGUUGGUGAGGUAACGGCUCACCAAGGCCACGAUGCAUAGCCGACCUGAGAGGGUGAUCGGCCACACUGGGACUGAGACACGGCCCAGACUCCUACGGGAGGCAGCAGUAGGGAAUCUUCGGCAAUGGACGAAAGUCUGACCGAGCAACGCCGCGUGAGUGAAGAAGGUAUUCGGAUCGUAAAACUCUGUUGUUAGAGAAGAACAAGGACGUUAGUAACUGAACGUCCCCUGACGGUAUCUAACCAGAAAGACACGGCUAACUACGUG